AUGGGACACGACUAUUUGGUGGAGGAGCUUGGGGGAGAUGUGAAUGCUCCUGGAAUUGGAAGCGUAGCUCUAGGUGCAACUCCGUUUAUGAUGUCAGCUCAGUCUGGUGAUGUUCCCACUGUCAAGUAUUUCCUUGAUCAUGGUGGUGAUCUAAUGAAAGCAGAUGACAAGGGACGCACAAUUCUCCACCAUGCUGUCUCGGCAGGAUGCUGCAAGGUAACAGAGUUCCUCCUUUCAAAAGGGGUGCCAGUUGACAUAGACUGUGGCCGUGGACCACCACUCUUCAUGGCUGCUACAAAUGAGCAGGAUAAGACACUGAAGAUUUUACUGGACCACCACGCAAAUCCUAACAUCAUUAUCAGUGGUGCCACUACUCCCCUGCUGAGUGCUCUUAUUUACCGUUCAUUGAAGUGCAUGAAGCUACUCAUUAAGGCUGGUGCAGAUGUUAAUUGCAAGGCUUCCACUAUGACACUUUUGGUGUUUGCUACAAUGCAAGGAGGUUAUACCAACUUCAUUAAGUUUCUGUUGAAGGCUGGAGCUGAUCCUAAUAUUCCCGAUGAUUUGGGUAGGUUACCAAUAGAGCUUGCUGCAUUACGAGAUUGCAAGGAAGAGGUUGAAAUGUUGCUUCCUUUGACUACGCCAAUUCCAACUGUCCAAAACUGGAGUAUUGAGGGGGUAAUUUCCCAUGUGAAAAAUGAAGAUAAAAAACCAAUGGAGCAACGGCACCGUGAAAGAAGACAACGUUUGCUCAAGUCAUAG
rnacentral:rRNA from 1 species